AGUGAACGCUGGCGGUAGGCCUAACACAUGCAAGUCGAACGGCAGCACAGUAAGAGCUUGCUCUUACGGGUGGCGAGUGGCGGACGGGUGAGGAAUACAUCGGAAUCUACUUUUUCGUGGGGGAUAACGUAGGGAAACUUACGCUAAUACCGCAUACGACCUACGGGUGAAAGCAGGGGAUCUUCGGACCUUGCGCGAUUGAAUUAGCCGAUGUCGGAUUAGCUAGUUGGCGGGGUAAAGGCCCACCAAUGCGACGAUCCGUAGCUGAUCUGAGAGGGUGAUCAGCCACACUGGAACUGAGACACGGUCCAGACUCCUACGGGAGGCAGCAGUGGGGAAUAUUGGACAAAGGGCGCAAGCCUGAUCCAGCCAUACCGCGUGGGUGAAGAAGGCCUUCGGGUUGUAAAGCCCUUUUGUUGGGAAAGAAAAGCAGCAGGUUAAUACCCAGCUGUUCUGACGGUACCCAAAGAAUAAGCACCGGCUAACUUCGUG
rnacentral:rRNA from 1 species